GGACCCAGCUCAGUGGUAGAGCAUCGGCUCUGCAAGCACAAGGUCCCAGGUUCAAUCCCUGGCAUCUCCA